GACGAACGCUGGCGGCGUGCUUAACACAUGCAAGUCGAACGCGCCUGUCCUCUGGGUUUCUGGGGGGUGGGUGAGUGGCGAACGGGUGAGUAACACGUGAGUAACCUGCCCCCUUCUUCGGGAUAACGGUCUGAAAGGGCUGCUAAUACCGGGUAUUCACUGGUCUCCGCAUGGGGUCUGGUGGAAAGGUUUUUUUCUGGUGGGGGAUGGGCUCGCGGCCUAUCAGCUUGUUGGUGGGGUGAUGGCCCACCAAGGCUUUGACGGGUAGCCGGCCUGAGAGGGUGACCGGUCACAUUGGGACUGAGAUACGGCCCAGACUCCUACGGGAGGCAGCAGUGGGGAAUAUUGCACAAUGGGCGCAAGCCUGAUGCAGCGACCCCGCGUGAGGGAUGGAGGCCUUCGGGUUGUGAACCUCUUUCGCCCGUGGUCAAGCCGCGACGUGGGUCGUGGUGAGGGUAGUGGGUAAAGAAGCGCCGGCUAACUACGUG
rnacentral:rRNA from 1 species